UGGAACACAUUUGCUUGUUACUCUCCUCUCGGUCUACAUUAGAUUGUUUAUCUAACGCUAAUUAAAUUGUUUCCAAUUGUAAUCAGUUAAUCUGGUCCAUAUUAGAAUCUUAGUUAAUUGUUUCCUAUCAGAAUGAACGAUCUAUCACAAAGGCGUCUCUCGACUGCUGGAGAUUCUCUUUAUAUUGUGUUAGGUGUGCCUAAAACCGCAACACCAGAAGAAAUCAAAAAAGCUUAUAGAAAGUUGGCAUUAAAAUAUCAUCCAGAUAAAAAUCCUGAGAAUCCAGAAGCAGCCGAAAAAUUUAAAGAUAUCAACCAUGCUCAUCGAGUUUUAAGUGAUCUAACUAAAAGAAAUAUUUAUGAUAAUUAUGGUUCUCUUGGACUCUACGUGGCCCAACAAGUCGGUGAAGAAUAUGUUCACACCUAUUACAUGCUAUCAUCCGGAUGGUGUAAAGCUUUAAUCGCUGUCACCAGUAUUUUGACGUGCUGUUGCUGUUGCUGUUGUUGCUUCUGUUGCUUCAACUUUUGUUGUGGAAAAUAUAAACCAAAACCACCCCCAGAAGAUGCUGGCGACUAUUCCAAUCUUAAGGGAGAUCAAGAUGAACACACAAAGAGAGAGGAAUUUGAAAGUGAUAACGAAGCUGGUAAACCAGUGAUCAACAAACAACCACGAACUGGAGCUGGUUCAUCAACUGGACAGUCAUGGGAUCCAUCAUCUGACCCAUGGGAUACUAGCAAUCAAACACCCAUAGCAAUGCCUCCCCCUGCAAAUGAAAGGACAGGAUUGAACACAGGCUAUUCGAGUCAGUAUCAAUCGUGGGACUAAAUGACAACAUUAACCAACUACCGUUCAAAUUGAUUCAGUUUUUUUGGGAAAAAAAGAUUGAAAUUGAUAAUUAAACACAAUUUACGGCUAAUGGUUUGAUAUUGAUGAUUUGUGAAAGAAAUGAAGUCAACUGAUUGUGAUUCUCUAAUUAUGACAAUUAAGCUUUUUUUUUAAUUUCUCAUUUUUCUGAUUAUCUAUUAAAAUUAAUUUCCUUUUAUCUUUCAGUUUCCUUACAAUCAACUAGUCAUAAUGUUAAUCCCAUUAUACUAAUUACAACAAUUCAAUGUAUUUACAAUUAAUAUUAAUCAUUUGUGGUCACUUUGUGAGUUUCAUUUUUUGAAAUGAAUGUUAAUAUUAAUUAAUUAAAUACACAUUCCCUGAUUAAUUGAUGAUGAUUAAGGUUAAUGUGCCAUGCACUUAAACAAUAGAAACAAGAAUUAAACAAAUUGCGUGUAUGUGUGUGUGUAAUUAACCAACAAUUAACUCUGAUCAACAAAUUUAAAGAUCGAUCUCUGUCUCUUUCCAUUGAAUUUUUUUUUUCUCUCUUUUCAAAAUUUUCUUAAUUAUGUAAUUAUUUUGGAAGAAUGUAAAUCAACAACAAGAUCUCACAAUUAACAGCAACAAUUAAACAAAAAAUGACACAACAAUCAGCUGAUUAAUUGGAAACAAACAAACAAUCUAUAAAUGUAAUUCCUAAUUAAUUGUCGCUCUUAUUUUGUUUUCUUCCUUAAUCAUCACACUGAUUUUUUUUUCUUAAAUAAAAAGUAAACACGUUGAAUGCACAAAACACAAUUAAAUUAAUUGUCUCAUCAAAUUUAUAUUAAAGUUCUGAGUCUACUCAGUAAAGUUAAAGACGAAGUUUAAUCGUUUGAUUAGUUCGUAGUUACUACUGAUUAACUUGAUGGAAUAAUAAUUAGAUAGAAAGUAAACUUAAUUUCUGCAAAUCAAAUUAGCGAAAAUUAAAAUUAAGUUGGAAAUAAUUUCCAAUAUUAUUGAUAUUGUUUCCUAAUGGAAAUUAAUUUAUCUAAUUGUUUGUUUAUAAUUCGAGACGAAAAAUAAUCGACUUACAUAACCGUUAAAAUCGAUUCUUUUUUCCAAUCGAUUGAAAUCGAACUUUUUUCUUUUCAUUUGUGAUUAUCAACAGAAAACAUGAACUUCAUGAUCAUCUCCUGAAAUUCAUUCCACUUUUUUCUUAUUUAAUUGUUCUCUUGUUCUCUUGUUGAUUUAUUCAAAUGUUAUUUCUGUUAAAUAUUGAUAGAAUUAAAUCCAUGUUACCAAUUAAUCGUCAGUUAUAAAUAUCGAUCGUGUUUGUUAAUCCAAUCUACUUAAUCCUGAGAAACACCCAAACGUUAAAACCAUUUACAUAUUUUUUUGUUUUCUUCCAGUGAAAAGAUCAAUUGUCUUUUAAUUUUCUCAUUCGUUCCAUUAAUUUAAUUCUCUCGAUGUUGUUUGUAUUUUAAUCUUCUACCAUGUUGAUCACCGAAUAUCGUAUUCCACUUCCACUAUCGGUUGACGAAUACCGAGUGGCUCAGCUCUACAUGAUUGCU